AUGUGGAAAGGAAGGUGUUGGGAGGGAGGGAGAGGAGAAGGAGCGUGUCCGACGCCGGAAUGGAAGGAGAUUGGUGCGGAAGGGCGGAAUUAUUGUUGGAGACUGUGCGGAGUGUCCAGCAGAGGUCAGUGCCACCGCAGUUUGGUCGGCCUGACCGUCCCCUCCCCCACGGGCGCUGGACCUGCCCAAGGUCAGCUCUGCAGAUGGCUCAGAUGGACUUGCGGGAGGGAGAAGCGCCUUCACCUUCAGCCCAUCUGGGUGACCCCGCUGGAGCUCAUCCUCCCCGCUGCUCAAUCUGGGAAGAAGAGCCCCGAGAGUCUCUGCGGCGGCAACAUCCCAGGGAGAGGGCCGGAGAGGCCGGCCUGGCCCUCGGAAUCGCAGAGGCCUUCCGGGAGCGGACAUCCAAAGGCCGGUUGUCCGCCCGGUUCCCCAGCCGGACGUCCCACCCGGGGCCGCCUCGAGAUGAGCCGGACCCCGACGCCGUCGACGACCGGGGAAGCAGGCGGAGAUUCGUGCAUUUCACUUCCCAAUGGAGCCACAAGGUGGCACCAGGACCCAACUUUGCCCGGGAAUCCGCCGACGUCGCCCAGCAAACUGCGGGUCCAGGUUCAAGUUGUCGUUCCACUCUAAAAGCAUCUCGGAGUCUUUUAAGAGGAUUUUUUUAAAAAGUAAACUAGAAGAAGAAAAGAUUUCCAGGUUUAUGAUUUCUGAUGCUACUGCCCAACAUUAAUUUUUUUCACUCGGUACUAUCAUUUACUACUCUUUUGCCAAUAAACUGAAUGGCUUUUUUAACCUCAUUUUCUGUAAACAAAAAUCAUAGGUUUUUUUCUUUUUUUCUCAUUUCGGAAUCUGGUCACUGUGUAA
rnacentral:lncRNA from 1 species